CGAGCCUCAGGCCCUUAUCUGCGUUCCGCCUCCUUCGCCACUAGAGGGCGCAGCCGGUCGGCCGACGCCUCCACUAACGGCCCAUUCCUCAAAUACGAGAAGCACAGAGGGCGUGGUGCCCACUGCAAAACCGCUGCGGCGUCUCUGCGCCUCUGGGCUCAGGGGCGCAGACGAGGGCCUCCCGCUAAGACCUGGCGCAGCGCGAGGAGCAGACAAGUCACAUCAAAGACUGCGACUCUCAGUCCGGCUUUCAGCGCCCACUCGGCGCGCGAUACGUCAACCUUGCAGCUGGAGGAAGCGGAGCACCGACUCCCGCCCCGCCCACCGAGCUCACGUGGCCAACAACCGCGGCCUCGAGGCCGGAAGCGCUCCUAAGCUCGCGCGCGCGCGUUCUCGCGUUUUUAGGCGACAGUGAGGUUACCUAAGUUCCGUUCCCGCCGCGCGCUCGCGCUCGUUCCCAGGAUUCCGGGCCCGGACAGCUCGGCGGCGGCUGCGCGCGCGCUGCUCAGCCCGGUCCCCGCCCCCAGGCGCGCGGGGUUCCGGGGCAACACAGCCAUGUGCUCGUUAGCGUCGGGCGCUGCGGGCGGCCGGGGCGCUGUGGAGGACGAGGACGACUUGCCAGAGCUGUCCGACAGCGGUGACGAGGCUGCCUGGGAGGAUGAGGACGAUACUGAGCUCCCCCACGACAAGCAGCAGACCCCCUGCCUGUUCUGUGACAGGUUAUUUACGUCUGCUGAAGAAACAUUUUCACACUGUAAGUCUGAGCAUCAAUUUCAUAUUGGUAACAUGGUCCAUAAACAUGGACUUGAAUUUUAUGGAUACAUUAAACUAAUAAAUUUUAUUAGACUUAAGAAUCCUACAGUUGAGUAUAUGAAUUCCAUAUACAACCCAGUGCCUUGGGAGAAAGAAGAGUAUUUGAAGCCAGUAUUAGAAGAUGACCUAUUACUUCAAUUUGAUGUAGAAGAUCUUUACGAACCAGCGCCAGUCCCGUUCUCAUACCCCAGCGGGCUCAGUGAAAACACGUCUGUCGUUGAAAAAUUGAAGCAUAUGGAAGCCAGGGCACUGUCUGCUGAAGCUGCAUUAGCUAGAGCACGUGAGGAUCUGCAAAGAAUGAAACAAUUUGCUCAGGAUUUUGUGAUGAACGCAGAUGUCAGAACCUGCUCGUCAUCUACUACUGCCAUUGCAGACCUCCAGGAAGACGAGGAUGGUGUUUAUUUCAGCUCAUACGGGCAUUAUGGGAUACAUGAAGAAAUGCUGAAGGACAAAGUACGAACAGAAAGUUACCGAGAUUUUAUAUACCAAAAUCCACAUAUCUUCAAAGACAAGGUAGUUUUGGAUGUUGGUUGUGGAACUGGAAUUCUCUCUAUGUUUGCAGCUAAAGCUGGGGCAAAGAAGGUUCUUGGAGUUGAUCAGUCUGAAAUACUUUACCAGGCAAUGGAUAUCAUAAGACUAAAUGAACUUGAAGAUACUAUUGUACUAAUUAAAGGAAAGAUUGAAGAAGUUUGCCUUCCUGUAGAAAAAGUGGAUGUUAUUAUAUCUGAGUGGAUGGGCUAUUUUCUUCUUUUUGAGUCUAUGUUAGAUUCUGUCCUUUAUGCAAAGAACAAAUACUUGGCAAAAGGAGGAUCGGUUUACCCCGAUAUUUGCACUAUCAGCCUUGUGGCAGUAAGUGAUGUGAAUAAACAUGCUGAUAGAAUUGCUUUUUGGGAUAACGUCUAUGGCUUCAACAUGUCCUGUAUGAAGAAAGCAGUUAUUCCAGAAGCUGUUGUGGAAGUGUUAGAUCCGAAGACUCUUAUUUCAGAUGCUUGUAGUAUUAAGCAAAUAGAUUGCCAUACAACAUCUGUCUCAGCUUUGGAGUUUUCUUCAGAUUUUACCCUGCAAAUGACAAAGACAUCCAUGUGCACGGCAAUUGCUGGCUACUUUGAUAUAUAUUUUGAGAAGAAUUGUCACAGCAGGGUCAUGUUCUCCACGGGCCCCCAGAGUACCAGAACACACUGGAAACAAACAAUAUUUCUAUUGGAAAAGCCAUUUUCAGUUAAAGCAGAAAUGAAGGCUAAAUAAAACUUUUCCAGAAGAAAAACACUGCAAGAAUUCAUCUCCAGCAGACCAUCAAUACAAGAUAAAGUAAGUUCCUCAAGUGAAAGGAAGAUAUCACCAAGUGGAAGCUUGAAUCUAAACAAAUGAAUGGGAAAUGUCAGAAAUAGUAAAUGUGAAGCCUUGAAAGGAAAGAUCACAGUCCACAAGAAUAAGAAAGAUCCACGUUCUCUCAUUGUGACCCUCACAUUGAAUAAUUCAACUCAAACUUACGCUCUGCAGUGAAAAGGCUACAAAAGCACAACUUGCGGGUUUUAGUAUGGGGGUGGGUUGUGGGUAAGGGGUGGAGAGGGGGUUUUAUAUGAGCAUGUGGUUGAUGGACCCUUUCCUAAUGAGUCUCCUCAGUACGAGAGACACAUGGGGGGAAUCUGACACAAUUCAGCUAAGGAAGGGACAACAGAUCCAGGGGACCACCUGCAUCCUCACAGUCUCGGAAGUCUGUCAGCAAAAUUUUACUAAAUGUAACAGUUACAUAGAGUUUAGCUAUACUGAAAAUCAUUUAAAUAGGCCUAAAUUUGGAACAGAGAUGUUGUUUUUAUGUUUCUUACUAUAAAUUUUAAACACUAGUAACUGGUUAGUUAUUUGGAUAAUGUUUUAUUAAACUAGUAACUAUGCACACG